AUACGGAGGGAGCGAGCGUUAAUCGGAAUUACUGGGCGUAAAGCGCGCGUAGGCGGCUUUGUAAGUCGGAUGUGAAAGCCCUGGGCUCAACCUGGGAAUUGCAUUCGAUACUGCAGAGCUAGAGUAUGGUAGAGGGAAGUGGAAUUUCCGGUGUAGCGGUGAAAUGCGUAGAUAUCGGAAGGAACACCAGUGGCGAAGGCGACUUCCUGGGCCAAUACUGACGCUGAGGUGCGAAAGCGUGGGGAGCAAACAGGAUUAGAAACCCCAGUAGUCC
rnacentral:rRNA from 1 species